rnacentral:rRNA from 1 species
UACAGAGGUCUCAAGCGUUGUUCGGAUUCAUUGGGCGUAAAGGGUGUGUAGGUGGCGCGCUAAGUCAGGUGUGAAAUUUCGGAGCUCAACUCCGAAACUGCAUUUGAUACUGGCGUGCUUGAGGACUGGAGAGGAGACUGGAAUUUACGGUGUAGCAGUGAAAUGCGUAGAGAUCGUAAGGAAGACCAGUGGCGAAGGCGGGUCUCUGGACAGUUCCUGACACUGAGGCACGAAGGCCAGGGGAGCAAACGGG